rnacentral:rRNA from 1 species
UACAGAGGGUGCGAGCGUUAAUCGGAAUUACUGGGCGUAAAGCGCGCGUAGGCGGCUUUGCAAGUCGAGUGUGAAAUCCCCAGGCUUAACCUGGGAACUGCAUUCGAGACUGCAUAGCUAGAGUAUGGGAGAGGGAAGUGGAAUUUCAGGUGUAGCGGUGAAAUGCGUAGAUAUCUGGAGGAACAUCAGUGGCGAAAGCGACUUCCUGGACCAAUACUGACGCUCAUGUGCGAAAAGCGUGGGGGAGCAAACAGG